GACGAACGCUGGCGGCGCGCCUAACACAUGCAAGUCGAACGGAGCUUAGAGAGCUUGCUUUUUAAGCUUAGUGGCGAACGGGUGAGUAACGCGUGAGUAACCUGCCCUAGAGUGGGGGACAACAGUUGGGAACGACUGCUAAUACCGCAUAAGCCCACGGUACCGCAUGGUACUGAGGGAAAAGGAUUUAUUCGCUUUAGGAUGGACUCGCGUCCAAUUAGCUAGUUGGUGAGGUAACGGCCCACCAAGGCGACGAUUGGUAGCCGGACUGAGAGGUUGAACGGCCACAUUGGGACUGAGACACGGCCCAGACUCCUACGGGAGGCAGCAGUGGGGGAUAUUGCACAAUGGGGGAAACCCUGAUGCAGCGACGCCGCGUGGAGGAAGAAGGUUUUCGGAUUGUAAACUCCUGUCGUUAGGGACGAUAAUGACGGUACCUAACAAGAAAGCACCGGCUAACUACGUGCCAGCAGCCGCGGUAAAACGUAGGGUGCAAGCGUUGUCCGGAAUUACUGGGUGUAAAGGGAGCGCAGGCGGGAAGACAAGUUGGAAGUGAAAACCAUGGGCUCAACCCAUGAAUUGCUUUCAAAACUGUUUUUCUUGAGUAGUGCAGAGGUAGAUGGAAUUCCCGGUGUAGCGGUGGAAUGCGUAGAUAUCGGGAGGAACACCAGUGGCGAAGGCGGUCUACUGGGCACCAACUGACGCUGAGGCUCGAAAGCAUGGGUAGCAAACAGGAUUAGAUACCCUGGUAGUCCAUGCCGUAAAC
rnacentral:rRNA from 1 species